rnacentral:rRNA from 2 species
GGUUGACCUCGGAUCAGGUAAGGAU